rnacentral:rRNA from 1 species
CUACGGGACGCUGCAGUGGGGGAUAUUGCACAAUGGGCGAAAGCCUGAUGCAGCAACGCCGCGUGAAGGAUGACGGAUUUCGGUCUGUAAACUUCUAUCAGCAGGGAAGAAAAUGACGGUACCUGACUAAGAAGCCCCGGCUAACUACGUGCCAGCAGCCGCGGUAAUACGUAGGGGGCAAGCGUUAUCCGGAAUUACUGGGUGUAAAGGGUACGUAGGCGGCUGAUCAAGUCAGAUGUGAAAGCCCGGAGCUCAACUCCGGGAUUGCAUUUGAAACUGGUCGGCUAGAGUGCAGGAGAGGAAAGUGGAAUUCCUAGUGUAGCGGUGAAAUGCGUAGAUAUUAGGAAGAACACCAGUGGCGAAGGCGGCUUUCUGGACUGUAACUGACGCUGAGGUACGAAAGCGUGGGGAGCGAACAGGAUUAGAUACCCCGGUAGUC